ensembl:lncRNA
GGAGAUGCAAGCAUGCUCCUCCCCUGUUGGAAUGGGGACAGCAUAGUCUCUGAUUGGAAGAAGUGGUGUCAUUGUGGAAACAGAACGGUGGGAAAUGUAGGAUCAGCAUUAGAAGUGGAAACAGGAAGUAUUGGGUUGGCCAAAAUGUUCUUUCAAGUCAUCUGUAAUCUGUUACAGAAAAAGAAUGAAUUUUUUGGCCAACCCAAUAUGACUGCAGAGGUGUCUGGAUCACCAAGGCCCUACUUCUCCAUGUCAUGGGGGGAGGGGACAGGAUUGGGGUACCCCCUGAAUUCUCCCCACCGCUGUGGCCUCCCCACUUCCCUCAGGCCGCAUGUCCUGUAUCCAGUAAUCUCAGACCCCAAGGGCAGGACUGAAGGUGUUUACAGAAGUCCUUUCCACCCAUGCUUCAAGACCAACACACUUUCUGGAAAGCUCUGCAUAGGGGACAGUUUGUAAGAAUAGGACCCCCUAGACUGUAGCCAUUUCUGAGGUUCUGAGGCAGGUUCUUGGGAGGCAAGUGGGUUCUCCCAGCCUCCUUGUGUGAUGUUGGAGAAGGAGAUGGCACCCCACUCCAGUAUUCUUGCCUGGAAAAUCCUAUGGACAAAGGGAUCUGGUAGGCUACAGUCCAUGGGGUCACACAGAGGCGGACAUGCCUGAGUGACUUCAUUUUCCCGUUGUGUGAUGUUGAGGAGGGAGAAACUGCAUUGCUCUUUGGAGAAUAAAAAGAAGCAGUGUUUCUUCCUGACUGAAGGCACUUUAGCCUUGAGGGGUGGGGGUUGGUCGGUUCCCAAAGAGUAGACACACUUGUGGGGGCACCUUUGUCUCUUCUUGUUUUGUGAGAAGGAGGCUGCUGUGCAUUGGAGGGACUUGGGCUCCGGUGCUGGAAGGCAAGUUAGAGAUGACUUUCAGGUGGUAUACACGGUGGAUUGCUCUAUACGCUGCUUUUAGGGCAACUUUAAAACAGAUCACGUAUAUGUGUGUUAUGCAUUAUGUAUUGUAACAUCCCAACAAAAGUAACAGGAAUGUCUUCAUAUCAUUAAACACCCAGCAGGGCUGCUCUUUCCUGAUUGGCUUGUUCAUUUCUGUGGUUUUCCUCCAUCUGUUCGUUUGAAUCAGGAGGCAAACACAGUCCUGGCAGGGCAUUGGGUGACAUCUCUCUAACAUCUGCCUUCAUUCACAGGUUUUUCUUGCACUUGUUGGCAGAUAUGUCUGGGCCUUUAUUUUGUAGGGUCUCCAGCAGCCUGGAUUUAGCUUAUUUUUCUCCCUUGUGAUAUUCAUCCUGUCCCUGUGUCUGCUGUUCUUCCUAUGAAGUGGUAGGUAGAUGAAUGAUCAGAUUCAAAUUUGGUUUAUUUGGCAAGGCUGCUCCUUGGGUGCUGGGGUGAACUUCCUUCCAACUGUGCUUAAGUCACUCAGUCGUGUCGGACUCUUUGUGACGCCAUGGACUGUAGCCCGCCAGGCUCUUCUGUCCAUGGGGAUUCUCCAGGCAAGAAUACUGGAGUGGGCUGCUAUGCACUCCUCCAGGGGAUCUUCCCAACCCAGGGAUGGAACCCAGGUUUCCUGCAUUGCAGGUGAAUUCUUUACCGGUUGAGCUAUGAAGAAGCCCCCUUCCUUCCAAGAGAGGUACACAAAGAUCGCUUGGCUCUCUCUGUGGUGCUGAGCACCGUGGAUGAGCACGCCCUCCUUUGUUUUGUUUCGCUUUAGAACUCUUGAUAAAAAUCACUGGUGGGCUGUAGGAACAAUCCCUGACUCACCAAAUACAUUAAUUCAUUACAGAUUGCAAAAUGGUGAUGGUCUAUCUUUAGUCUUCUUUUAUUUAUUGAAUUAUUUCUAUAAAGAAAAUUUCCCUCAUUGCCUAUGUAAUUAUCUUCAGAGACAGUUCAUUUAGGAAAGGCAGGAUAAAGCCUUGUAUUUUUUGUUUUUAACCUACUGAUUUUAAUAUUAAUAAUAAUUAGUUGCUUCCCAAAGAUAACCAAGAUUUUUUUCUUUUUAGUAUUAUUAUGAAUUUAAGGACUUGGCCAUUCUACGGGUGUACCUCAGAUAUGUAGAUGACACCACCCUUAUGGCAGAAAGCCUCUUGAUGAAGGUGAAAGAGGAGAGUUAAAAAUCUGGCUCACAACUCAACAUUCAAAAAAUUAAGAUCAUGGGAUCUGAUCCCAUUACUUCAUGGCAAAUAGAUGGGGAAACAAUGUAAAAAGUGACAGACUUUAUUUUCUUGGGCUCCAAAAUCACUGCAGAUGGUGACUGCAUCCAUGAAAUUAAAAGACGCUUGCUCCUUGGAAUAAAAGCUAUGACAAACCUAGACAGUAUAUUAAAAAGCAGAGUCAUUACUUUGCUAACAAGAUCCAUCUAGUCAAAGCUAUGGUUUUUCCAGUAGUCACGUAUGGAUGUGAGAGCUGGACCAUAAAGAAAGCUAAGCACCGAAGAAUUGAUGCUUUUGAACUGUGGUGUUGGAGAAGACUCUUGAGGCUCCCCUGGUCUGCAAGGAGAUUAAACCAGUCAAUCCUAAAGGAAAUCAAUGCUAAAUAUUCAUUGGAGGGACUACUGCUGAAGCUGAAGCUCCAGUACCUUGGCCACCUGAUAUGAAGAGCUGACUCAUUGGAAAAGACCCUGAUGCUGGUGGAUAUUGAAGUCAGGAGGAGAAGGGGACAACAGAGGAUGAGACGGCUGGAUGGGAUCACUGACUCAAUGGACAUGAGUUUGAGCAAGCUCUGGGAGAUGGUGAAGGACAGGGAAGCCUCGGUGCUGCAAUCCACAAGGUGGCAAAGAGUCGGAUGUGGCUGAGCGACUGAACAACAACACCAUGGGUGUACCACAGUUCGUGUGUCUGUCCACCAGCUGAUGGACAUUUGGGUUGUUUUCACUUGGAUCCUAAGCUUACCUUUUUGGUAGAUCCUAGCUUACCUUUGAGAGUGUAGCUUUCCAGAUAGCAAAAAAUAUUCAAACUCAGUUCAUGUAUUUCCACUCUAGACAUGCAAAAGCGUAUUUUCCAAGAAAUGUGUGUGUGUGUGUGCACAUGCUCAGUCAUGUCCAACUCUUUGCCACCCCAUGGACUGUAGCGUGCCAGGCUUCUCUGUCCAUUCAGUACUUACUCUUUGAAAAGACUGGUGCUGAAGCUGAAGAUCCAAUACUUUGGCCACCUGAUUUGAAGAGCUGACCCUGAUGCUAGGAAUGAUUGAGGGAAAAAGGAGAAGAGGGUGGCAGAAGAUGAGAUGGUUAGAUAGUAUCACUGACUCAUUGGACAUGAACUUGAGCAAACUUCAGGAGGCAGUGAAGGAAGGGAAACCUGGCGUGCUGCAGUCCAUGCUGUUGCAACGCGUCAGAUAUGACUUGGCAACUGAACAACAACAAACAGAUUUGUUUAUUCAAGCACCUAUGCAAACCUUUCAGAUUAUAGAAGCUUUAUAGUGUGUUUUAAUAUCUGGGAGAGGAGGAUUUACUUGUUUCAUUUGCUUACCUAAAAGAACAUUGCUACUUCUCUUGAAAGAACAGCCUCAUCUAAGAACUGGAAACAGACAAAAUAUGGGAUUCCCUCUUCGAUUUUAGAGAUCUUGACUUCCAGCCUGACUGUUCAGUUAGUGCAUUAAAAGACGACUGUCUCUCUCCCCAACCCUAAGCCUGGCAAACUCAACCUGUGAUCCGAAGAUCCCGCUGUGCCUUUGCUAUUUCUCGCCUCAUUGCCAGGAAUAAAGAUUCAGCAGCAAUUCCUGCUCAGCUGACAACCCUGCCAGUGACACCUGAGGCAAAGUAAAACCCAGCUCAGCAGUUCCGCUGCGCUGAGCCUUGUGGCUUACAAUUAGUCAAAGCCAGGUGGUUCCUGGGCUGCCUUCUCCUCCCACCCUCCACCCUCCACCCUCCACCCUCACUGGGGUGGUUGGCGGAAUGUUCAGCAUCAGACUCCGCCCUCUCGCUUUGAUUCGGGCACGUGACAAGGCUAAAUGACAAGUGUUGAGUCAAAG